rnacentral:lncRNA from 1 species
UGGUUUUAGUUUUAAUUUUAGGGUAUUUCUAAACUCACGCCGAAAGUAACUUUCCUUUUCCUUCAAAUCGGGUGACAUAAACCCAGAGUUUUGGAAAUUAUGUCUAUGUAGCUCAUAUUUACAUUUGUUAGGGCCCCACAUUUUAUAAAUGAGAUAAUUACAAACCUCUAACCCUAGUUCAAUUGUCUGUCGCUCGUCCUAAGCC